AGCAUAUCAAUAAGCGGAGGAAAAGAAACUAACAAGGAUUCCCCUAGUAACGGCGAGUGAAGAGGGAAAAGCUCAAAUUUGAAAUCUGGCGGCCUACGGUCGUCCGAGUUGUAAUGUAGAGAAGUGUUUUCCGCGCUGGACCGUGUACAAGUCCUUUGGAAUAAGGCAUCAUAGAGGGUGAGAAUCCCGUCUACGACACGGACUGCCAGUGCUUUGUGAUACACUCUCAACGAGUCGAGUUGUUUGGGAAUGCAGCUCAAAAUGGGUGGUAAAUUCCAUCUAAAGCUAAAUACAGGCGAAAGACCGAUAGCGAACAAGUACCGUGAGGGAAAGAUGAAAAGCACUUUGGAAAGAGAGUUAAACAGUACGUGAAAUUGUUGAAAGGGAAACGCUUGAAGUCAGUCGCGUCUUCAGAAAUUCAGCCUGGCGUGCCUGGCGUACUUUUCUGUUGGACGGGCCAGCAUCAGUUUCGGCCGCCAGAAAAAGGUGAGAGGAAGGUGGCACCCUGCGGGGUGUGUUAUAGCCUCUGAUCGUAUGUGGCGGCUUGGGACUGAGGAACUUGCAGCACGCCAUUUCAUGGCCGGGGUUCGCCCACGUAACGUGCUUAGGAUGCUGGCGUAAUGGCUUUAAACGACCCGUCUUGAAACACGGACCAAGGAGUCUAACAUGCCUGCGAGUAUUUGGGUGGCAAACCCAUAUGCGGAAUGAAAGUGAAYGGUUGGGACUUCUGUCAUGGAAGGCACCGACGCCCGGACCCAGACCUAUUGUGACGGAUCCGAGGCAGAGCAUGUAUGUUGGGACCCGAAAGAUGGUGAACUAUGCCUGAGUAGGGUGAAGCCAGAGGAAACUCUGGUGGAGGCUCGUAGCGAUUCUGACGUGCAAAUCGAUCGUCGAACUUGGGUAUAGGGGCGAAAGACUAAUCGAAC
rnacentral:rRNA from 1 species